AAAGAAUAGGCGUUCCUUUAAACCAAGUCCAUAAUAAGAGCAGCCUGGUAUUUGGAACACCUACUUAGCUGGAAGCAGCUCCAACAGCAGUUAGAAGUGGGUGUCCUCAACUUGGACUGCCAGGACACAACACCACUUUCUGUCCUGAGAUGACAGACUCACGUGGAGCCACCUCAGUGUGCUGGGAUAAUGAAUUAUUUUCAGGUCCAUGUUUUCCAAGGUACUUCUAGCCCUAUUAUUUUACAUAUGUCUUGAAGAUCGUUCUGCUCAGAGGAACAGAAUUUCAAUUAGAUGUGUUUUUGCCUUCAACAAAAGUUUGAAAUUUU
rnacentral:lncRNA from 1 species